CGCUCGACUUUAAUGCAUGGUUUCCUAGAACCGAAUUGCCAACUACGUGUUGCAGCUUUCGGUCACUUGGACGUGCAUUAUUCCAAGUUACCAU
rnacentral:pre_miRNA from 1 species